AGGGGUAUAGCUCUGUGGUAGAGUAUUUGACUGGCUUGUGUGAGGCCCUGGGUUCCAUUCCCAGUACCACAA
rnacentral:tRNA from 1 species